rnacentral:misc_RNA from 1 species
GGGAAAUUGCAUAAGUUCUACAUUUAACAAUCAUUCCAAAGCAAAUGAAAUUUGAACUCAGCUUAUGCAUGGCAACCCCAGUGUUCAAAAAAAAACUAUGUUAAUUAUAUGCUAUAGAAAGAAUGAAGUGGCUAAUGUAAUAUAUCCCUCUUUUCUCUGUUUUUUUGGUUAAAUAAGCACCAAGUCCCUCAAGCGUACAACAAAAAUCUAUGUCAAUUCUCAACUCUCUCAGAAUUCACAAACUUGAGCAGAACACCAUCAAGUCCCCAGAGAGAGUUGCUCUGCUUAGAAUUGCAGCCAGAUGAGCCUAACGCAACUGCCCCAGCUUUUGUGUAAAGGUGCAUUUGACCUCACCAAAAUGCAGGACUAAAUUGCAGAGUUAAAUAAGACCACAAUCAUUUUUUUUAAUGAAUUUUCACUCACAAAAGCACUAUCAGCACUCAAUUCGAACAGCACCACUCUCUGAUGAAAUGAACUUGGGUUUCCUAACUACUUGCUCCAAGCAUUGGAUGACAUCCCCAAUCUGGAAAUCAUCACAAUCACAGAGCACAAGUCCACAUUCAUUUCCUUUCCCUACUUUUUCCACAUCCUGCUUCUCUCGCUUGAGAGACUUGCAAGAUCCUUCAAACACAACUUCCCCACUCCUUAGAAGCCUCAUGAUUGCUGAUUUGGUAACAUGGCCAUCUAUCACCCUGCAGCCAGCAAUCGUCACAUCAGCUCCUACAGACUUGCUCCUCCCCUUGAGCUCAAAGAUAUUCAGCACUUCAGCCUCCCCAGCUACCUGGGUCUCAAAAGUUCCAGGGGCCUUUUCCACUAUUAAUUUGCCAGCUUCCUCCAAAAGGUGAUAGAUCACACGGUGUUGCAUUAUCUUUAUCCUGGCUUGAGUUGCAGCCAAACUAACAGAGCUAGGUGGAGUCUUCACAUUGAAUCCAACUAUACAAGCACCACAGGCUUGUGCCAAGUCCACAUCAGACUGAGAAAUAGGCCCAACACCAACAUGGACUACAUUCACAAAAACCUGGGGACUAUUUAAAGUCUUUAGUGCAUCUGUUACAGCCUGGACAGUUCCCUGCACAUCUGCUUUUACAAUUAUUGGCAUUUCAAUCCUCUCAGGCACAGGCAUGUCAUCUGAUACUUCUGUACUUUCUGUCGUUUCAUCAAUCAUCUGCAUAAGUCUAUCUUUCUCAAAUUUCCUUUUCCUCCCUGCACUAAGCAUCCUAGCUCGCUCUUCAGAUUCCACAACAACAAUAUCAUCACCAGCCAUAGGAAGCCCCUUAAGCCCCUCAAUCUCAAUCGGCAUUGCUGGUUUAGCCCUAUCAGUUAACUUCCCUACCAUGUCCCUAAUAGCUCUUAUUCUGCCCCACUCAGAACCCACAACCACAUGCUGUCCACAAACCAAAGUCCCUGCUUUCACUAUUGCAGUAACCAAUGGACCACGUCCUUUGUCAAGUCUAGCCUCUACUACAUAAGCUUGAGCAGGGCCAUCAACACGCGCUUUUAGGUCCAUAAUCUCCGCCUGAAGAAGUAAAGCCUCCUCCAAAUCAUCCAAUCCAGUAUUUUUAACAGCUGACACUUCAACAACUUGAACAUCCCCACCCAUCUCCUCCAGCUGCAAGCCCUCCGAUGCAAGCUGGAUUUUAACUCUCUCUGGAUUGGCUGCUGGUUUGUCACAUUUAUUAAUUGCAACUACAAUUGGUACAUUAGCUGCUUUAGCAUGGGACAUGGCUUCAAGAGUUUGAGGCAUCACCCCAUCAUCAGCAGCAACAACAAGCACAACUAUAUCUGUCACUGCUGCACCUCUUGCUCGCAUCGCACUAAAAGCAGCAUGACCAGGAGUAUCAAGGAAUGUGAUUGAUGACCCUGAUGGCAUGCCCACAACAAAAGCACCCAGAUGCUGAGUUAUCCCCCCAGCUUCCUUGGCUGCUACUGAUGUUUGACGCAAAGCAUCUAAAAGUGAAGUUUUACCAUGGUCAACAUGUCCCAUGACAGUCACAACAGGAGGACGUGGAAGAAUUUCUGCACCUUUGUUGGAGUGUUGCCUCCUGACUUUGAUCCCAACUUCCUGCAUAUUUAAUAUAAAGAAAUCCCCUUUAAGUUUUCAAAGCAGCUGAAACACAAGUGACCAUGGUGAUCUUGGGGGGAAAGGGACAAAAGAAAAAGAGAAAGUCAGGGGCCUAAAACCUAGCUCAGGAAUCCUAGAGAGACCACGUCUAUGGUUAGCAUCUGAAAGCCAACAUAAAUUUGUUGUUUCUAAUCCUUACACUACAACAAAGUCAUGCGUCAUAAUUAAUAUACAUUGUCAAACAGCCUGCAGUAAUUGUCAAACAACAAUACCAUAUAAUCAAAUACCACGGAAAACAGAUUAAUUCCUUUGGCAGCAUAUUGUGACUAUUUAAAUUUGCUUUCAGGUAAAAAAUUGAGAACUGGAUAUAAAAUGAAUUUUUCCAAUUUUCUGUCAUCUUUGAGUUUGUAUGAUGAAAAGCAUUAUAUAAGUCUUGCAACUAAGAAAGGGAAAUACCAUUCCAACCAGCUCUGCAACAUCAAUGCUGAGGGGAUCAAAUUCAGAACCAGCCUUUUCCCCAACAUUGACAAGAAUAUCCUGCAGAGUGGCAAUGGACUCACCAGUGCGCUUUGCAAGCUCAACGACAGUCAUGCCUUCAAAUAUGUCCACUGUUUUAUCUAGCAAAGACUUGGUAUUUCUUUUUAGUUUAGGAGCCACAUAUGGAGCUUCAACAGGCGGCUGGGUCUUGUUUCUAUUCUUUUUCUUAAACUUUCCUUUAGUUUGGAUCUUCAAACCAACAGGCUCAUCAUUAUUUCUUCUUCUAGCCAACAGUUCUGGAGUGGCAUGAAAACACCGUAUGAAGGAUUCAUUCAUAGAGAAAAUGUGAUGACCUCGUAAAAAUGAGCUGAAAGAAAACUCAAGUAUGCCUCUAACUGGGGCAGAAACUGAUUUCUCUGCAACGUCAAGAUUGCAUUUAGAAGUUAAACCCACAGCAUGGCCCCAUGAUGGUGAAGUCCAAGCUCUAAUCAGAUCAACAUGAAGACACCUUUUCCGAGCUGCUCCCCAAGCCAUUCAUAUGCUUCUUAGACUCUACAAAACCCAAUGCAGAGGGAGAAUUUAAGAAAAGAAACAGCAAUUACGAACCAUAGCAAAAGGAUUGAAGAAACAAAAUCACAAUUAAAAAUUCUCAUUCUUUUUGAGGUAAACAAUUGACAAAAUUUUAAUAAAAUUUCCUUCAAUGUAUUCAUCUACGUAGUCCUCUAAAAAUAUACACUUUUAUGGUAUAUGAGAAGCAGCCCGUGAUUAUUGAAGAAUGAAAUUCAAAACCCAGCUACGAAAAGUAAAUUAAAUACUUACAAAUCAGAAUACCGUCGUAAAGUCGCAGCAACUCAUAGAAGAAUGCAGCACCCUCGAAUAGCUCUUUAACAAAGGGGGACUGUAUCAAAGAUAUAUAAAUUAUUAAAGAAGGAUACUUACAAUAUUUUAGAGCUGUGACUCGAAGUCUAUCGAGCUGCUGUAGCGAUUUUAAUGGGGGCAAGUUCGCUCUUUUCUCUUGCCCAUGAAACUCUUCAGGAAGUAAAACCCCAGGUCGAAUCUGGGUUUG